rnacentral:lncRNA from 1 species
AUGAAAAGUCACCAGAAAGUUGAACCUCAGUGUGAAAAAUUGUUGACUUUUCAAGAACUUGGGAGUUCUGGCACAUUCUGGCACCGGCACAAAAAGAGGUCACUGUCACUGUGUCCUUUUAGAUUUGUACACGAUGGAGACGUCUCAUGUUCUGCCAAUACAAAUGCAUCAUUAGCUCUUCAAAACUUUGUUUGGUUUCAAUUGCUAAAUCAGAAAAUGUUAAUCAUUUUAUUCUUUUAUCUGGACUCUUUCCAUUUUCGCCCCCCUUCUUCCAACAUAACAUUCACCAAUCAAAAUCCACCUUGGUUUCUUCACAAAACAUAUUUAAGGAGCUCUUUUUGGCCUUCAUUUUGGCAACUGUCAUCCCCAGGAAACCAGUUGCCUGAGGAAGAGAAGUUGAAUCUCCCCUGUUUGGGGCUUUCUGCAAACAUGGCGGACUUCUCACAAGGGCUCUUUGCUAUAUUCUGUUUAUUGAUUGUAGGAUCUACUGAGUGCCAGAAACGUAAGUGAUUAUCUUACUGAAUAAAUGUUAAAUGAAUAGUAAAUCUAUAAGUUGCAGCUCCCAACUUCUUUACUCUGACUCUCCAAGCCCUAAAGAACACUUUGAAAUCCCUAGAAUCUCAAAUCAAUUCCUGGGGUUUAAAUUUCCAAAAAGUAGUUCAAGUGCCACAAAACAGCUCUAAAAUGCAGCGGUUUGUCUAGUUCUUCCCCACUCUGCUUGCCCACUGAAAAUGAAAUAUGUGGAAUGAAAUGACAUCAUUUUGGAGUUGCCAGAGAUGUACUACUGUGACUUACCAAAUGAUGGUGGUGCAUGUAAUAAAUAUAGUUGUCCAUUUCUGUAUGAUACGUAAGAUCUGAAAUAAAUGUAUCGUGAGAACAUUUGGGGAUCAAAAUGGUGAGCACAUUUGGUGAUACAGCUUGUUAUACAUGUCUGUUGCUUUAGAAGGAGGCCAUUGGGGAUACUGAUGCUUAUCGUAUUUUGUAAUAUUUGCGUUUCUUUGUAGAUACAUAAACCGAAUAAAGGUAUGAGCACAAUGUAAGCAUUCCAAACAAAACCAGCUGUUCUUCUACACUUGCAAAAUUCAGAAACCUCAUUUUUAUUAAGCCUGUUUCCUUUAUUCUUCUGUCUCUCUCUUCUGAACCUCUCAUAUUAUACAAUUAUAGUACUACUAUUCCACUGUAAUGGCUAUGGCUCUAUUUUGUGGAAUCCUAGAAUUUGUAAUUUAGGAAGGGUUGUCUGUAAUUCACAGCUGAAAAACUGUAGUACCUCACCAAACUAAAAAUCCCAAGAUUUGGUAGAAUGCAGCCAUGGCAAUUAAAGUGGAAUUGUAUUGCUUGUGUAGUGUGAACAGAUCUCUCUCUCCUGGGAAGGAAUCUUUCCUUCCCUUCUUUUUCUGAGUCUUUUUAAUUCAGAAAGAACAUUUCAACAUGGCCUUGUAACAUCAGUUACAAGAACAUCUCACUUCUUUAAUAAUCAGGUUCUAUGGCACAUCAUUUGAGUGUCCUAUGUUGUUAAUACUCCUUUGUUAAGUCCAGGAAACCUGUUACAUGAGAUGUUUUCUUUGAUAUUACACUGCCUUAAAUACGAUAUUUUAUGGGAGAGGGGUGCAAUGAAUAAAUUGCAUUCAUUGUACCCCUCUUGUGUUUUCUCACAUUUUUUUUCAUCUUUUUCAUUACUGGUGGAUGAGGGAUUGAGGAACGAUGGAAGAUCUACACAGUGAAUUGCAAGUGAUAGCAGUAGGGACUCUCCAAUUCAGUACUCAAAAUCUCUCAAGUACUGUCUUGUCAAAAGUCAUGGUGAAAAUCCUAUCCACAGAAAUCUGAUAGAAACACCACAGUGUUAUUCCCACCCCAAGAUUGACUGUAAUCUUCUGAUCAUGAUUCCUAAAUGGUGGGACUACUUUGGGGUGACCUCUGAGACAGUUUUAUCUGACAGAGCUGGGUACACUUGCAUGCAUAAUACAUGAGAAUUGUUCCUGGUGUGAAAAGUAGAAAGUAAACAGGUGGAUAAGUAAGUGAUAAUACGCUUGAAAUCUUUGUGUAAUUAGUUGCUGGGAUAACUGGGAGUUCCUUUUAUUUGAGACAUCAGCCUGAGACAGCACCAAUCAGCAUAGGUAGUA